GACGUACGCUGGCGGCGUGCUUAACACAUGCAAGUCGAACGGUAAGGCCCUUCGGGGUACACGAGUGGCGAGCGGGUGAGUAACACGUGGGUGAUCUGCCCUGCACUUCGGGAUAAGCCUGGGAAACUGGGUCUAAUACCGGAUAGGACUCCUGGCUUCAUGGUUGGGGGUGGAAAGCUUUUGCGGUGUGGGAUGGGCCCGCGGCCUAUCAGCUUGUUGGUGGGGUAAUGGCCUACCAAGGCGACGACGGGUAGCCGGCCUGAGAGGGUGACCGGUCAGACGGGGACUGAGAUACGGCGCAGACUCCUACGGGAGGCAGCAGUGGGGAAUAUUGCACAAUGGGCGCAAGCCUGAUGCAGCGACGCCGCGUGAGGGAUGACGGCCCUCGGGUUGUAAACCUCUUUCAGCUAUGACGAAGCGCAAGUGACGGUAGUAGCAGAAGAAGGACCGGCCAACUACGUGCCAGCAGCCGCCGUAA
rnacentral:rRNA from 1 species